rnacentral:rRNA from 1 species
ACAGAGGGUGCAAGCGUUAAUCGGAAUUACUGGGCGUAAAGCGUGCGUAGACGGUUAUUUAAGUCGGGCGUGAAAGCCCCGGGCUCAACCUGGGAAUUGCAUUCGAGACUGAAUAGCUAGGGUGCGGAAGAGGGAAGCGGAAUUCCCGGUGUAGCGGUGAAAUGCGUAGAGAUCGGGAGGAAGGCCGGUGGCGAAGGCGGCGCUCUGGAACGGCCCUGACACUGAGGCUCGAAAGCGUGGGGAGCAAACAGGA